GGUUGUGGAGACGGGAUUUGUUGGUGGGUGUUCUUUGAGUGUAUGCAGCAGUCCUUUUGAUGGAGUCUUUAAUUUUGGGCGAAGUUUCUGGAAACCCAUCCUUUCUACCAUCCCAAUUACCCUAAAGCUCGGGUCUCUGAAGCAUUUGAGAAAAAGCACAAAUUCAACAGAUAUUUAUCAAGUGUCUUCUAUGUGAUGUGACUGAAAAUAGGAAUUUACAGCAUAGCAACAAAGAACGAUACAACAUCUAACUGUACUAUGUGCGAAGUGCUACAAAAACAUAUGGCAAGCUCUGGAAUCAAGAAGUGAGCAGGCCAGAUGAGGUAACUGAGGGGUGAAGAGCUUAAGUCGGCUGCCCAAAACUAGCAGUGGGAGAGUGGUGUAGCCAGGAUUUAAACCCAGGUAGCCCAAAUACAACAUCUACAAUCUAUCUCAAAUCUAUGACAUCACAGAUGAGCCGGUAUCCACCUUUCCCUGAAGGAGUUGAAGGAGCUUUUAUAGAAUAGGUGAUAUCUGAACUGGACCUUAGAGAGUAAUCUGAACUGGACCUUAGAGAGUAAGUAAAAUUCUGCCAGAUAAAGAACAUGUAAAAGCAUUAGUCUAGCUUGAGGUUUG